GCGCGAGUGGCGGAAUUGGCAGACGCACCAGCUUGAGGGGCUGGCGAGGGCAACCUCGUGGGGGUUCAAAUCCCCCCUCGCGCACCA
rnacentral:tRNA from 1 species